rnacentral:rRNA from 1 species
GAUUUCUGGUUCGGCGCGCCUCGCCCGUCUUGGUCUUCAAGACUGUGUGCCUGGUGCGCCUUCCAUCCUUCGAGUAAUCCUCUGUGCCUUCACGGGUACGGGGGCCUACCUCGAUCUUUUACUUUGAAAAAAUUAGAGUGUUUAAAGCAGGCUUGCGCUAUGAAUACAUUAGCAUGGAAUAAUAAUUUAGGACUUCGGUUCUAUUUUGUUGGUUUCUAGGACUGAAGUAAUGAUUGAUAGGGAUAGUUGGGGGUGCUAGUAUUCAGCGGCCAGAGGUGAAAUUCUCGGAUUCGCUGAAGACUAACUUAUGCGAAAGCAUU